rnacentral:rRNA from 1 species
GAUGAACGCUGGCGGCGUGCCUAAUACAUGCAAGUCGAGCGAACAGACGAGGAGCUUGCUCCUCUGACGUUAGCGGCGGACGGGUGAGUAACACGUGGAUAACCUACCUAUAAGACUGGGAUAACUUCGGGAAACCGGAGCUAAUACCGGAUAAUAUAUUGAACCGCAUGGUUCAAUAGUGAAAGACGGUUUUGCUGUCACUUAUAGAUGGAUCCGCGCCGCAUUAGCUAGUUGGUAAGGUAACAGCUUACCAAGGCAACGAUGCGUAGCCGACCUGAGAGGGUGAUCGGCCACACUGGAACUGAGACACGGUCCAGACUCCUACGGGAGGCAGCAGUAGGGAAUCUUCCGCAAUGGGCGAAAGCCUGACGGAGCAACGCCGCGUGAGUGACGAAGGUCUUCGGAUCGUAAAACUCUGUUAUUAGGGAAGAACAAAUGUGUAAGUAACUAUGCACGUCUUGACGGUAUCUAAUCAGAAAGCCACGGCUAACUACGUG